rnacentral:lncRNA from 1 species
CAAGAGAACAUGUUCAUCGGGACAUUCAUCGGGUGAACCCAUAGUGGGAUUGAUUUAACUUAUGACUUCUCCUUAAGUUCAUCUGAAGUCCAAUUUGUUACCACCAACAGUAUAUUUCCAAUACUCCACAUCCCCCUUCUAAAUAUGCGCGCUCUCAUAGAUGGAUUUGCAACUCAGAACUUCAUUGUUUUUGAAUUUACCUCAUAGACUUUAACUACCUGCCCUUUUCCUCCAUCUCUACAAAUCUUAUUCAUUACAGCAUGAAUACGAGCAAUAUGACGUGUUGUAUCCAAAAACUUCCCAAUAUGAAAAUAUCCCCAUAGUGGAUUUGUGUUGAUUACUACUUCAUUUGGAAUCUCCACGUUCAGCUUGCCUUCCAAAUCCGUAAUAUUGAGAUUGUAUUUCUUCAAUACCUUCGUUUCCUGAGCAACAUCAACCCACGAAGCUGCCUUUGGUUUAGUUAUUUCUUGCCUCUUCAGAUCCUUCUCCGAUCCAGAUCCAAACUUAUCUUCCGAUACUCCCUCUUGAUCCUUUCCUCCUUCCAAACUCAACUCAGAUGAUUCCGAUUGGAUCACCGAUCAAGCGCAACCUUUUUAUUCUCUUCUAAACCCAAACCAGAUGGUUUCGAUUGAAGAACCGAGUCCAUCACAUCCCUCA